GCAUCCAUGGCAGAGUGGUUUAUGCCCCCGACUCAUAAUCGGUGUGAUACGCUGGUUCAAAUCCAGCUGGAUGCA
rnacentral:tRNA from 1 species